UUUUGUUGGCAAAUGGGAAAAUCUGUGAAAAUGGAAUUCACAGUGAGUUAAUGCAGAAAAAGGGGAAAUAUGCCCAACUUAUCCAGAAGAUGCGCAAAGAAGCCACAUCGGUGAGUCCUGCCCCACCACCCUCACUCCCCAUGGUGGACGCACGUGUACUCAGGGCCUGUGCUCUCUUCCCAGGACAUGUUGCAGGACACAACAAAGAUAGCAGAGAAGCCAAAGGUAGAAAGUCAGGCUCUGGCCACCUCCCUGGAAGAGUCUCUCAACGGAAAUGCUGUGCCGGAGCAUCAGCUCACACAGAAGGAGGAGAUGGAAGAAGGCUCCUUGAGUUGGAGGGUCUACCACCACUACAUCCAGGCAGCUGGAGGUUACAUGAUCUCUUGCAUAGUUUUCUUCUUCAUGGUGCUGAUCGUCUUCUUCACGAUCUUCAGCUUCUGGUGGCUGAGCUACUGGUUGGAGCAGGGCUCAGGGCUGGUGUAUGGGCUCAACACCCUGCUCCUCAUCUGUAUGGGGGUCUGCUCCUCAGGGAUUUUCACCAAGGUCACGAGGAAGGCAUCCACGGCCCUGCACAACAAGCUCUUCAACAAGGUUUUCCGCUGCCCCAUGAGUUUCUUUGACACCAUCCC
rnacentral:sRNA from 1 species